rnacentral:rRNA from 1 species
CAGCUCGAAAAGCGUAUGUUAAAGUUGCUGCGGUUAAAACGCGUAUGUUAAAGUUGCUGCGGUUAAAACGCUCGUCGUUGGACAUCAGGAGCUGGAUCGUGGACAACCUAGAGUUGCUACUACGGUUUCACUCCUUUUUUAUGCCAGUUCAUCGAUGAUGCACUUCAGUGUGUGUCGCGGUAGAAGGUCAAUGUCACUUUGAGAAAAUUAGUGUGCUCAACGCAGGCUUUACGCUUGUAUAAUGCUGCAUGGGAUGACGGAAUAGGGCCUCGGUUCCGUUUCGUUGGUUUACGAAAGCAGAGGUCAUGAUUAAUCGGGACAGACGGGGGCAUUCGUAUUGCGAUGAUAGAAGUGAAAUUCUGUGACCAUCGCAAGACGGACAACUGCGAAAGCAUUUGCCAAGAAUGUUUUCAUUAAUCAAGAACGAAAGUUAGAGGAUCGAAGACGAUUAGAUACCGUCCUAGUUCUAACUGUAAACUAUGCCGACCGGGGAUUCGCCAAUGCAAUUUAGCUUGGCGAGCACCCUCCGGGAAACCAAAGUGAUUGG